UACAGAGGUCUCAAGCGUUGUUCGGAUUCAUUGGGCGUAAAGGGUGUGUAGGUGGCGCCGUAAGUCGGGGUGUGAAAUUUCGGAGCUUAACUCCGAAACUGCAUUCGAUACUGCGGUGCUUGAGGACUGGAGAGGAGACUGGAAUUCAUGGUGUAGCAGUGAAAUGCGUAGAGAUCAUGAGGAAGACCAGUGGCGAAGGCGGGUCUCUGGACAGUUCCUGACGCUGAGGCACGAAGGCCAGGGGAGCAAACGGG
rnacentral:rRNA from 1 species